AGCAUAUCAAUAAGCGGAGGAAAAGAAACUAACAAGGAUUCCCCUAGUAACUGCGAGUGAAGCGGGAAAAGCUCAAAUUUAAAAUCUGUCAGCCUUGGCUGUCCGAGUUGUAAUCUAGAGAAGCGUUAUCCGCGCUGGACCGUGUACAAGUCUCCUGGAAUGGAGCGUCAUAGAGGGUGAGAAUCCCGUCUUUGACACGGACUGCCAGGGCUUUGUGAUGCGCUCUCAAAGAGUCGAGUUGUUUGGGAAUGCAGCUCAAAAUGGGUGGUAAAUUCCAUCUAAAGCUAAAUAUUGGCGAGAGACCGAUAGCGAACAAGUACCGUGAGGGAAAGAUGAAAAGAACUUUGGAAAGAGAGUUAAACAGUACGUGAAAUUGCUGAAAGGGAAACGCUUGAAGUCAGUCGCGUUGUCCAGGGAUCAACCUUGCUUUUGCUUGGUGUACUUUCUGGUUGACGGGUCAGCAUCAAUUUUGACUAUUGGAAAAAGGUCAGGGGAAUGUGGCAUCUUCGGAUGUGUUAUAGCCCUUGGUUGCAUACAAUGGUUGGGAUUGAGGAACUCAGCACGCCGCAAGGCCGGGUUUUUAACCACGUACGUGCUUAGGAUGCUGGCAUAAUGGCUUUAAUCGACCCGUCUUGAAACACGGACCAAGGAGUCUAACAUGCCUGCGAGUGUUUGGGUGGAAAACCCGAGCGCGUAAUGAAAGUGAAAGUUGAGAUCCCUGUCGUGGGGAGCAUCGACGCCCGGACCAGACCUUUUGUGACGGUUCCGCGGUAGAGCAUGUAUGUUGGGACCCGAAAGAUGGUGAACUAUGCCUGAAUAGGGUGAAGCCAGAGGAAACUCUGGUGGAGGCUCGUAGCGAUUCUGACGUGCAAAUCGAUCGUCAAAUUUGGGUAUAGGGGCGAAAGACUAAUCGAACCAUCUAGUA
rnacentral:rRNA from 1 species